rnacentral:rRNA from 1 species
AAAAACAUCGCCUCUUGAAACUCAACACAUAGGAGGUCCUGCCUGCCCCAUGACCCUGUUUAAUGGCCGCGGUAUAAUUAACCGUGCAAAGGUAGCGCAAUCACUUGUCUUUUAAAUGGAGACCCGUAUGAAAGGCUUAACGAGGGCUUUACUGUCUCCUUUCUCUAGUCAAUGAAAUUGAUCCCCCCGUGCAGAAGCGGGGAUAAGAACAUAAGACGAGAAGACCCCGUGGAGCUUAAGACUUAAAGGCAGCCUAUGUUUAAUACUCUAAAAUAAAAGACCAAACAAGUACCAAUUUGCCCUCAUGUCUUUGGUUGGGGCGACCCCGGGGAAUAACAAAACCCCCGUGAAGAAUGAGAAAACUACUUUCUUACAAACAAGACCCACCAGUCUAGCUAACAGAACACCUGACUAAAACAAAUAAUUAGGAUCCGGCCCACGCCGAUUAAUGAACCAAGUUACCCCAGGGAUAACAGCGCAAUCCUCUUUUAGAGCCCCUAUCGACAAGAGGGUUUACGACCUCGAUGUUGGUUCAGGACUUCCCGAUGGUGCAGCCGCUAUCAAAGGUUCGUUUGUUCAACGAUUAACAGUCCUACGUGAUCU